UGACGGUACCUGCAGAAGAAGCGCCGGCUAACUACGUGCCAGCCGCCGCGGUAAUACGUAGGGGGCCAGCGUUGUCCGGAAUUAUUGGGCGUAAAGAGCUCGUAGGCGGCUUGUCACGUCGGAUGUGAAAACCCGGGGCUUAACCCCGGGCGUGCUUUCGAUACGGGCUGACUAGAGUGAAGUAGGGGAGAGCGGAAUUCCUGGUGUAGCGGUGAAAUGCGCAGAUAUCAGGAGGAACACCGGUGGCGAAGGCGGAUCUCUGGGCCUUAACUGACGCUGAGGAGCGAAAGUGUGGGGAGCGAACAGGAUUAGAUACCCUGGUAGUCCACACCGUAAACGUUGGGAACUAGGUGUGGGCAACAUUCCACGGCUUCCGUGCCGCAGCUAACGCAUUAAGUUCCCCGCCUGGGGAGUACGGCCGCAAGGCUAAAACUCAAAGGAAUUGACGG
rnacentral:rRNA from 1 species